AAAUGAAUUGACGGGGACCCGCACAAGCGGUGGAUGAUGUGGUUUAAUUCGAUGCAACGCGAAAAACCUUACCUACCCUUGACAUGUCAAGAAGUUUCUAGAGAUAGAUUCGUGCUCGAAAGAGAGCUUGAACACAGGUGCUGCAUGGCCGUCGUCAGCUCGUGUCGUGAGAUGUUGGGUUAAGUCCCGCAACGAGCGCAACCCUUGUCAUUAGUUGCUACAUUCAGUUGGGCACUCUAAUGAGACUGCCGGUGACAAACCGGAGGAAGGUGGGGAUGACGUCAGGUCCUCAUGGCCCUUAUGGGUAGGGCUACACACGUCAUACAAUGGCCGGUACAGAGGGCUGCCAACCCGCGAGGGGGAGCUAAUCCCAGAAAACCGGUCGUAGUCCGGAUCGCAGUCUGCAACUCGACUGCGUGAAGUCGGAAUCGCUAGUAAUCGCGGAUCAGCAUGUCGCGGUGAAUACGUUCCCGGGUCUUGUACACACCGCCCGU
rnacentral:rRNA from 1 species